rnacentral:rRNA from 1 species
GACGAACGCUGGCGGCGCGCCUAACACAUGCAAGUCGAACGAGCGAGAGAGAGCUUGCUUUCUCGAGCGAGUGGCGAACGGGUGAGUAACGCGUGAGGAACCUGCCUCAAAGAGGGGGACAACAGUUAGAAACGACUGCUAAUACCGCAUAAGCCCACGACCCGGCAUCGGGUAGAGGGAAAAGGAGCAAUCCGCUUUGAGAUGGCCUCGCGUCCGAUUAGCUAGUUGGUGAGGUAACGGCCCACCAAGGCGACGAUCGGUAGCCGGACUGAGAGGUUGAACGGCCACAUUGGGACUGAGACCCGGCCCAGACUCCUACGGGAGGCAGCAGUGGGGAAUAUUGCACAAUGGGGGAAACCCUGAUGCAGCGACGCCGCGUGGAGGAAGAAGGUCUUCGGAUUGUAAACUCCUGUUGUUGAGGAAGAUAAUGACGGUACUCAACAAGGAAGUGACGGCUAACUACGUG